UGAAGCCGAAGAACUCGUCC
rnacentral:siRNA from 1 species